UAUGUGAGGCUUGUCACAAGUCCAGUUUAUGAAGCUUGCCAAAGCAGAUCGGUUAAUCAUCUGUAAUCAAGACUCAAACCAGGAGAAUUAAUAAAGUCACAGAUAUCAUCACCUGUCAUGUAAAUGUCAGAAUCUCUCCUCCUUCACAUCUACCUUUCAAGUGUUCUAAGGAUUCCCCGCAUGAGAAGAUGGUGAAGAUGCUGGAUUGUUGAGUGGUGAUGGCGAGACCUCUGGACACAAUGAGGUUGAAUCAAGUGGCCUGAAUGAACAACAUUCCAAUAUUCAGAAAACCUCACAGAUGUGGUUGCUGAACUAUUGCCAGUAAGCUCUGAGGACUCAUGGAGCAUGGGAGAGGUGCCACAAGAUUGCACAUGGGUAAACAUUGUCCUGAUUUUCAAAAAGGGAAAACAAAUAUUCCAGAUCAUCAGUCAGUUAAAAAAUAUGUCUCUUCAUCUUUGGCUUUCUUAAAAUUUGAAAUUAAUUUUGGCUUUCAUUUUUAAAACCCUGAAUUUGGAAUCAGGAGACCUAGGUUUGAGUUCUAGCUUGGCCACUACUCAUGUGAAUCUGGACAGUCACUAUCUUCUCAAUAAUUCAGUGAUA